rnacentral:misc_RNA from 1 species
AAAAUGAGGAAGAGGAUGAUGUGGAAGAAAUUGAUAGUGGACAACGUAAGGAAACAAUUCAUAGUAUUGGCAUUAGUGCUUCAAAAAGAUCAAAAGUUUCACAACCACAAAGUAGUAGAAGGGCUAUUGAUACUUAUUUUCCCCCUAAACCUACCGUUAUGAGAAAAAGUGCAAAACAAACUACUAUUGAUAAAAAUAAUUCAGCUAACAAGGAAUUAAGGAAUUGCGCUUGUGUUGCCAUAGCACGAUG